AAUAACAACGAUGAAAUAUUAAUAAUAAAAAUAAACAUUAUUUAUUUAUUAUUACGUAUAUUGUAUAUUGAAUAUAUAUUCAAUUUUAAAUAUAUUACAUUAUAUGUUACAUAUAAUAUAUCAAAUAUAUUACAUUGAAUACUAUACAUUACAUAGAAUAUAUGUAAUAUAUUAAACAUAUAAAAUAUAUAAUCUAUUAACAUCUAUAUUUAACAUAUAAAUAUAUACUAGAUUGUAUGUGGAUUUAAAAAUUAAUUCUUAACAAAGGGACUCAAAGAAUCCAGGCAAUGGAGUAAAGAAUGUGUCCAGGCUGCAGAAUCCAAGGUUAUUAAAAAAUAAAAGUUACAUCGUUUGCAGUCAAUUCCUGCCUUUGCUCUGGCCGCACCGGUAGAAGCAUUCUGGAAGUGUGCAAACAGACGGGGGGAAACUGAAUCUCGGCGAUACUUCACUAAGGCCAGGUCAGUUUCAGUGGGAACUGGAAUACCUUCAGUCUGGAAGAUUCCGCUCCUGCUCCACAGGCUUUCUCAACCAUGAGUUUGCAAGAGAAGUCGAUGGAAGCAAACCUGGCCAUGGCAGAUCUGAUGUUCCCAAAUUUGUCUGGGUAGAGGAAUGAGUCAAAGAAGUGAGAAAGCUCUUAAACUAUACCUGGGACCUUCAUUUUAUGUGAGAACACACCCGGCUAGGCAGGGGCCAGCUGGAACCAUUCUCUGGAGCCCAUUGUUAAAUUUUCAAAGUCCUUUCCUCCUUAUUUGGAAGUGGUGCAGAAGGCAAGCUGCCUCUGGGGCUGAUCUCUUCUCAGGUCAUAGCCAUCUCAAAUUGCAGAGACUGAUACUGGCUUCUGAGAGAGAAUUCCUCAAAAGUGUGAAGUUUCAGAAGGAGAACUGCCCCACAGCUCAAGGAUUAAAGCCAAGCCAAGCCAAGAGAGGCCAGGAUGUCUUGACCUUGCUAACCCUCCAUGACAUUUCUGUGAGUUGCUCAUGGGGUGCUGGUCUGAGAUAAUCAUGAAAUCUUUGUUUAGCAGUCCCACUUAGGUUCUUUAUCUUCAGAAGGGCAUCUAAAGGUAUCUAAUGACCUACUUGGGUGAUUCA
rnacentral:lncRNA from 1 species